rnacentral:rRNA from 1 species
UCAAGAGUACGUGAAACUGCUUAGAGGUUAAACCUGAUGAACCUGAAUAUCCAUUAUGGAAAAUUCAUCAUCAAUAAUAGAAUAUUAUUUAUAAUAUUUUAUGAAUGGUGUGCAAUUUUUCCAUAUAAGGACAUUGUAAUCUGUUAAUGUGAUAUAAAUUUAUCAUAAGAUCUUUUACUUAAGUUUAUUCAAAUUGAUUUUUUUCGGAAUUUCAACAUAGAAUAAAUGUAUUGGAUUUGAUAAAGCAUUGACAGAUAAAAUUAUAUAAAGUGCUUAGAUUUUUCGGAAUCUAACAAUGGUAAUUAGAUCUAUUGAUUUAGUUAUUUAAUUGUUUGCGCUUUUAUGAUUAACAAUGCGAUAGAUUCAGGAUACCUUCAGGACCCGUCUUGAAACACGGACCAAGGAGUCUAACAUAUGUGCAAGUCAUUGGGUAUUUUUAAUAAAACCCAAUGGCAUAAUUAACUUAACUGUUAAUAAUGGGAUUAAUUUAUAUUUUAUUCAAAAUAUUAAAUUCAAUCCCGGGGCGUUCUAUAUAGUUAUGUAUAAUAAUAUUUAUAUUAUUUAUACCUCUAACUAGAGCGUACCUUGAGCAUAUAUGCUGUGACCCGAA